AACUAACUAGGAUUCCCUCAGUAAGGGCGACUGAAGCGGGAAGUGCUCAGGAUGUGAAUCUGCGCUUUGCGCCGAAUUGUGGUCUGUAGAUGGUGGCACUAUCAGCCGGGGCAAGUCCCUUGGAACAGGGCAGCUGAGAGGGUGAGACUCCCGUUCCCCUGGCAGAAUGAGCCGCUAAUCAACGAGUCGAGUUGUUUGGGAUUGCAGCUCAAAGUGGGUGGUAAAUUCCAUCUAAAGCUAAAUAUUGGUGGGAGACCGAUAGCGUACAAGUACCGUGAGGGAAAGAUGCAAAGAACUUUGAAAAGAGAGUUAAAGAGUACCUGAAAUUGCUGAAAGGGAACCGAAGGAAACCAGUGUUUGCUUGGUCAUAUUUCCCUGUCCGCUUGCGGUUUGGGCGCUGUGUCCGGCUUGAGUUGUGGUUGGUUGGAAUCAAUGGAAGAGCACGGUAAGAGUUGAUUGCCGUUGCUAGCAUUGAUUCUGACUGAGCAGGACAAAAUGGUUUUCUUUACCCCGUCUUGAAACACGGACCAAGGAGUCUAACAUAUGUGCGAGUACAGAGGUGGCAAACCUCGGUGCGUAAUGAAAGUGACAGUGGUUGGAAAUUUGCACAAUCCGCCGGCCUCAAUCCCUCGGGAGAACGGUCUGAGUGUGAGCAUACAUGUUGGGACCCGAAAGAUGGUGAACUAUGCCUGAAUAGGGUGAAGCCAGGGGAAACUCUGGUGGAGGCUCGUAGCGAUUCUGACGUGCAAAUCGAUCGUCAAA
rnacentral:rRNA from 1 species